ACGGCGAAUAGAAGCCACAUUGAGAAGUGCGCGAAGAGUGAUCAUGUGGGCCAUAUAGGAGCAAAUGUCUCAUCAUAGUCAUGACCAUGUUCUCACCACUAGACAAGCUUUGUAAUGCUCAAGAGAAUCACCAGUCUUAACCUUGUAGACCCACUUACGAGUGAUGAGACGAGCACGAGGACGGAAAUGAGUUCCACGUGCCGAUGCGUGCAAGAGCAUCAAUCUUCAAUGCCAUCACAUGCAGCCAUUCUGGAUGAACAACUCUCAUGAUAAGUCGUCCCGGGAAGAGCCGCACAGUGACCAUAGCGGUCAAUAGGCUGAAGCGGGCGAGCUCGGAAGCCAUAAGUAGGCUGAGUUGGAGCCGGUGCCUUGCCAAUAAAAGAAAACAUAGUAGUCAAGUGAGAUUGCUCAUCAGAAGAAUCCACAACACGCGGACCACGAGACAUAGUAAAUGAGAAAACCAUCAGAGGUAGACCUCUAUCACAAGAAAGUCGAGAAGAGGGCCCAGGUUAGACAUAAGAAACUGCUCACUAAGACGUACCUUCACAAAGGCAAUAUACUCGGGGUCGUCGCCAUUGAUGAUCAUGUCAUCAACAUAUAGAAAAGGAGAGUCCGACCACGAUCAGAAAAAUAUAUCCAUCAGAGGUAGAAAAGACCUUUGUCCUAAGAAAGUAUUGAAAAGGGCCAAGAUCAGACAUCAGAAACUGCUCACUAAGACGUGCCUUCACAAAGGUGUCACCAUUCAUGAUCAUGUCACCAACAUUCUAACCUAUAAUGAGGCUCGCCAACUCGGCCUCCUGGUGCUCCCCCAGAUUGAAGCUUUGUUGGCCAUUUGAUAGAGCUGCUUUUGGUCAAUUGGUUCAUUACGGCCAUCAGAUUUGUUCUGCCAGUUUUCACCGCACGGUUAGUUUUCAGUAUUAUGACCGGUGGGCUCGUUCUUUCUCCUUAUUGGCUGGGUGAGCCCUUCGUGGGUGUGAGCAACCUUGUCCUCGCACGCCACGUGUCGUGCGGCUCGUCGUGGGCGUCUCCGCUGCUACAUGCAAACCCCAUUUGAACCCUAGCCUCCCAUCACAACCACCACAUCUGUCCCUCCACCCCUCGUCCGUCGUCGUCCAUCUCCACCUCCUAUCCCGGCUCCUCUUGUACCUCUCAUUUUCCUCCUUACCUCCCCAUUGCUUGCCCCCUUUCCCUGGGCGACAGGGUCUUAACGGCGGGGGUGGAGUAGGGAGGGUCAUUAGGCUAGCGGCGGAGGGAUGAAGCAGUGAGGCCCGAGCUCUAGGCGGUGCACACAUUGCGGACUCUAGACUCUUGUGUUGUUGAUUGGGUUUUGGUGCUCUAUGCUUACAAACUUUUGGGAUUUUGUCAAUGCCAAGGUAUGUGAUUGGUUUCUCCACUUCCACCCUAUGAUUUGCAAUUUCCCCAUAUGAUGCAUUGAUACCAUUUCAUUGUGUGAUUUUUCUGCUGAAAAUAGUCAUCGGGUUUUCAAGUGUAGGCAUCAUGAGCCCAGUUAGUGUUCCUGGUUUAUGAAUUUAAGAAUACGUUCUCAUCUCCCUGCUAUCUAUAUUCCAUUGUUUUAGAUUUAAAAGUGCUUUAGAUGAAUUUUUUUGAGGCAAACUUUCCAUUUCAGGCAUCAUUUCUAAGUAUAUGGCAUCCACGAAUUUCCCGAUAGUUUGUUCUGCACCAUGCUGCCUCAUGUAGGAUUUUGGCGCUCGUGAUUUACCUUAGGCAAUGUGUGAUGCCAUUUGCAACCUUCUUGUUGAGCAAGCUGAAACAGGAGUAACUCCAUUAAUCAUUCUGUAGGCAGUGUUAUGGUAGCUGCAGGAGUGGGCGGUACUCAGCUGCCGACAGGCGCUGAUGACAGUGGCCGAGCUAGACUCCGUCAGGGACAGGGCGUGCAUGUAUGUCGAGGUGCUCCAGGGCAGCAUGUGGGGCAGUUGUCUCUGGUCUCAUUUGAGUUUUGCUUCUGAGCUAUUAUCGAUUUCCCAUUUCUUUUGUCUGCACUAGAAGAUUGACCAUGUUGGAGGCUGUUAAGGCGCAGGAUUCAUCUCACCAAUCGAUUUCCCAUUUCUGAGUCGUUAGAUUGUCCGAUGACCAAACCAGUUGCCGAGCAAACAUUGUCGCCGAUGCAGGAGCUGAACGCCGAAGGGUAGAUCUGUGAGGCGCAGGGGGCAGCGGUUGCGGAGGGAGGAGGUUUACCAUGGGCAUCCAAGUAGUCGAUUGGUGAGAUGAAUCCUGAACCCCCUGGCUGGACCAAAGGUAUGGCAGUAUGUAGUUGUACGACUCUUGAAUUUUAAUCAUGGUAGUCUGAAGGAUACCUACCACACAAGCUGUACAUGGAGGUAGCAUGACUUCUUAGUAAGAACUGGGUCUGCUACAAGAUUAUAUGAUUAUAUCAGGAACUUAGAUACUGAAAGGGUUAAGCAAUUUGGUUGUGAUAGCAUUUUCCAAGCAUGAACACUUCAGCCACUUCUUGACAGUACUGAAUAAACAUGUGCGAAUUUCAAUGCUUGUGUUACCUUGAAAACAAGUCUUACUGCAUAGGUAAGAAAAUAUAAUCAGAGUGCAAAUUUGAAUGCCUGUGUUACCUUGGAAACAAAUGCUAAAACAUAGUUAAGAAAAUACAAUCAGAGUGCGAAUUUGAAUGCUUGUUUUACCUUGAAGAAUGCUACAGCAUAGUUACUUAACUGAUACAGAGUGAGGAUUAAGUAAUUUGCAUUAUGUGAGGAUUAAGUGCUACCACCAGAAAAUCCAAUCUAAAAGUCCAGUGAUGCAGGUCGGGAUGGAAAGCAAGAUCAUGAAGUGUAACUAGCCCUAGGUAGUAGGUGGACUGUAAAUAAUUGUAAGUCGAAGUUGUGCGACAAAACCACAAGAGGCUUAUUUAGGAUUGAUACAAGUGAAACUGGAACAGCCUCUGGAUCUAAGGGCUAUUCCGUGGCCUGGAGGUGCUUGGGGGUCGACGGGUUGUCGAUGGUGCGGCGCCGUUGCCGCAGCAGUAGUAGAAGAUAGCAGGGAUUAGAGAUAGAGAACAAAUAUUAGGGAAACUAGACUUUGUUGAUUAUUGCUUGCGUCUAUGCUUACACAGGUAGGUCCUUUAUAAAGGACAUGGACUACUACUUUGACAUACUUUGGACUCUAAUAGGAAUCUGACUCAAAUACUACCUUAAUAGAAUCUGGAGACUACCAAAAUAGAUGCAUCCUUUUAGGACAUCGAACUGCCCUUGUCUAGCCACAGCCUAACC